AUGUUGAAGAUCCUCACGGGCGUCUCGACCCCGCAGCUGGCUUGCCCCAUGGGCACGGCAGCCGAUGGCGGCCUCACCGACGACGCCAGAGCCCCGGCGGUCGUCCAUGACGUCUUCUCCUCCACCACCAAGGCCCAGGAGACCUUGGAGCUCACCCCCGGCGCGUCCCCUGCUUCCAUCAAGAUGGUGCCAGUCACCUGUUCGACGGAAUGUUCGACCCAGGUCAUCACCGUCACCCAUGUCGACGAGGUCCACGACGCCACCACAACCCUGCGCCCCGAGCGCGCAGUCGACAUCAACGACAAGGAGGUCGAGAAGCUCACACCCGCGUGGGCACCACCCACCAUCAGCACCAACACCUCUCUCAACGAGGAGUUCGUUCCUCUAGUGGCGACCACCAUCAACAUCGACCCCAAGGCCGUCGUACAGGAGUUGGAUACCUCACCACUACCCUCCAUCGACACCUCCACCCCGGUCGUGAGCGAUGGGGAGCACGGCGUCCUUCUCGUCGUCUCCAGCAACCUCGCUGCACCAGCGCUGACCAUGCGCUGGGCAGACUGCCCUGUCCCUGCAAGCGACUGGGUGAAGCCUCUUACUGCCACCAUCAACAGUGCCGACGAGACACAUGACACUGCCAUCGCCGAGCGUCUGCACCUGCCUUCCUUCGAACAUCAACCAUGGCUACCCACUGUACAAGUGCAGUUCUAUCACAUGGGACCCCUCUUCAGGCCUAGUCUGUGGCCGUCGUUCCGACCUCUGUCAGUCGCAAGCUACUUGGAAGAACCAUGUUCACGUAUCCAUAGUCAAUCACUUGGAGGUUCCUGCUUCAGUCCUUGUCUAAUUCGAUUGACAAUCUGA
rnacentral:rRNA from 1 species